rnacentral:rRNA from 1 species
UAGUCCACGCCGUAAACGAUGAGUGCUAGAUGUCGGAUCUUUUUUCGGUGUCACAGCUAACGCGUUAAGCACUCCGCCUGGGGAGUACGGCCGCAAGGCUAAAACUCAAAGGAAUUGGCGGGGACCCGCACAAGCGGUGGAGCAUGUGGUUUAAUUCGAUGCUACGCGAAGAACCUUACCACCCUUUGACAUCCUGUUCGGGGAUUAUAGAGAUAUUUUCCUUCGGUUCGGCCGGAACAGUGACAGGUGUUGCAUGGCUGUCGUCAGCUCGUGUCGUGAGAUGUUGGUUAAGUCCCGCAACGAGCGCAACCCUCAUCCUUUGUUGCCAGCGGAUAAUGCCGGGGACUCUAAGGAAACUGCUCGUGACAAGCGAGAGGAAGGUGGGGAUGACGUCAAGUCAUCAUGGGCCCUUACAGGGGUGGGGCUACACACGUGCUANAAUGGCGUUUACAAUGGGUCNCUAGCUCGCGAGGGCAUGCUAAUCU